AGCCGGAUCCAAAAGACAAACAAUUAGACAAUGCAUGCACCCUGAGACAAAAUAAUGUCAGCCUGAGAAACUGCCACGUCUUGCUUUGUUAGCAUUAGCUGCAUGGGAAAGGAGAGAGAUCGGAUCGAUGAGCACUAGAGUACGAAAUAAAUUCGGACUUUAGUCAGACAGCGGAACAUGGAUUUGGGAGCCUUCCUUGAGAAGAUAAAUCACAACGCUGUUUGUUUAUGUAAUUGAGGAAUACUCUGACAUCUACUUUGUAAUUAUGUCAUGAAGAAGAGAACUUGCUAUUUAAAGAAAGAAAGAAAGAAAGAAAGGCACUACUGUGUUCUGAAUUGAUCAAUACUAGUCUCAGACUCUCAGCUCCUCUCUCGCUCUUUGACUCAUAUAUAUACUAGCCUACUAGGCCACUGCUCCUACCGAAUGGCGUUACGCUUGCUUCUUAUAAUGACGGUUUUGCUCUUCUGCGUAGCCCAGGUUUCAUCUGAUGCCAAAAUCGAAAACCGGCAAACCCAGGUUUAUUCGUCAAUAUCAGUUAUCACCGCCACUAUCACUAUCAUCACUUCCAUCAACAUCACCGCCCACCUUCUCUUUAUUAUUAUUAUUAUUAUUUUAAAAAAACGAUUAAUACGCUUAAUUAUUUUUUUUUUCAGGAGGUGAAAGGAGCUAAUAGAAGGCUUUUACCCUUCGUGGACUGUGGAAGGUUGUGCAAGGGGAGAUGCAGUUUACACUCGAGGCCAAACGUGUGCACCAGAGCGUGUGGCACGUGCUGUGCAAGGUGCAAGUGUGUUCCGCCGGGGACCUCAGGGAACAGGGAAUUGUGUGGGAGGUGCUACACGGACAUGACCACUCAUGGCAACAAGACCAAGUGCCCUUAGCUUCUAAACAAGCCCCUUCUCUUUUUGCUAAAUAUAUAUAUCUGUCGCUUCCUGUGUAUCCAGUCCUUUAAUUCUCAAUGCAUGUAAUCAACUUCGAUGCCCGUCUAUCAUUGUAUUCGGGGAACCACCUUUAGCUUGUUUUUCUUUUUUA